CAUAGGUUUGGUCCCAGCCUUUCUAUUAGUUGUUAAUAAAAUUACACAUGCAAAUAUCCGUAGUCCAGUGAGAAUGCCCUCCAAGUCAUCCCAGAUGAUAAAAAGGAGCAGGUAUCAAGCACACUAAAUAGUAGCUCAUAACGCCUUGCUUAACCACACCCCCACGGGAUACAGCAGUGAUAAAAAUUAAGCCAUGAACGAAAGUKUGMCUAAGUKAUAUUACUCAAGGGUUGGUAAAUCUCGUGCCAGCCACCGCGGUCAUACGAUUAACCCGAACUAAUAGACAUACGGCGUAAAGCGUGUUUAGGGUAUAUUAAAUAAUAAAGCCAAAUCUUAGCUAAGCUGUAAAAAGCCGUAGCUAUCAGAAGACCUCUCACGAAAGUAGCUUUAGAACAUCUGAAUACACGACAGCUAAGACCCAAACUGGGAUUAGAUACCCCACUAUGCUUAGCCUUAAACCUAAAACAUUCUCUUUUCAACAAAAUCAUUCGCCAGAGUACUACUAGCCAAAGCUUAAAACUCAAAGGACUUGGCGGUGCUUUAUAUCCUUCUAGAGGAGCCUGUUCUAUAAUCGAUAAACCCCGAUAAACCUCACCAGUCCUUGCCAACUCAGCCUAUAUACCGCCAUCUUCAGCAAACCCUAAAAAGGAACUAAAGUAAGCUUAAUCACCAUACAUAAAAACGUUAGGUCAAGGUGUAGCCUAUGGACUGGAAAGAAAUGGGCUACAUUCCCUAUUCCRGGGCACAAUAUACGAAAGUUAUUAUGAAAUUAAUAACCAARGGUGGAUUUAGCAGUAAAUUAAGAAUAGAGUGCUUAAUUGAAUAAGGCCAUGAAGCACGCACACACCGCCCGUCACCCUCCUCAAAUAACAAUGAUAUCUUAUAACAAAAUAUAAACCACAUAUCAAGCGUACUAGAGGAGAUAAGUCGUAACARGGUAAGCGUACUGGAAAGUGCGCUUGGAUAAUU
rnacentral:ncRNA from 1 species